AACACGCGUUUCACUUUAUAACAGUGCUCCGUCUCCCCAUUUCUCUUUCCGUCUCUAUCAUUCUCUCUCUAUCGUUUGCUCUCUCCGUCCUAGAUCUAGGGUUUUCUCCGUCUCUCUCAUGCUUCUUGAGAGAUUCACCAGUUCGAUUACGAUUACUUGAGAAAGAUGGACCGGUUGAGUUGCAGGAACGCGAGGUUACGAGACUGAGGAGUGAAAAAGGAUAGAGAUCAUGGAUCGGGAUCGAGACAGGGAUCGAGACCGAGACCGGUCGAGUCGAAGCAAGAGGAGGAGACGAGAUCAUGAAUACUGGGUUUCUGGUAAUCCUCCUAAGGUCUGGUCCUCCCGUCGCUACCGCCCCUCAGGUUUGCACAAGCUCUCUCUAUUGAACAUGGAAGGUUGCCCUGUUACUGCGGUAUGCUUGGACUCUCUUGCAGCUAUUCCUGCCCUGCUAUAUUUGAACCUAAGUAGAUGUAAUUUGUCUGACGAUGGGUGUGAAAAGUUUUCAGGGCUACGGAAUAAAGUACUAAGCUUGGGAUUCAAUGAUAUCUCAGAUGCUUGUUUGGUACACAUGAGAGAGCCCUUCAGAGUUUAUAUGGAUAAAAUAGAGACAUGUCAUUUUAGAAUUGUGGAAAUUGAAAAAUCAAUUGGUGACACUAUGAUCAACAACACUGAUGCAGAAAGCAGACUUACACUGGCAGAUGCUUUGGUAUAUGCCUGUAACCAAGGUGUAGAGCAGUAGCUUCCACUCUUUCUGUCUUUCCUCUAGAUAAACACCUCAUUGUCUGAGCUUGGACACAAGUUUCAGAGAUAAGAGUAAGUAAAGGUCUUGGAGAAUCAAUUCAAGAACGGCUAUGGAAAACUAUUGCUUUGGUAAGGUGCUCUCCCACACAGACAUUACGUACACAUUGGAGAUACCGAACUGGGCAGCUGAUUUGCCUGAAUACAAUGAUGCCGUCAUGCCAGUGUGGGAUCAAGGUGGAAGAUAUUGGGAGCUUCGUAUGACAAUAAGGGCAGAUCAAAGAAAGGCCUUGAAAUCAAAAGAAUGGCUUGAUUUAGC